rnacentral:rRNA from 1 species
UACGUAGGGUGCGAGCGUUAAUCGGAAUUACUGGGCGUAAAGCGUGCGCAGGCGGUCUGUUAAGACCGAUGUGAAAUCCCCGGGCUUAACCUGGGAACUGCAUUGGUGACUGGCAGGCUUUGAGUGUGGCAGAGGGAGGUAGAAUUCCACGUGUAGCAGUGAAAUGCGUAGAGAUGUGGAGGAAUACCGAUGGCGAAGGCAGCCUCCUGGGCCAACACUGACGCUCAUGCACGAAAGCGUGUGGAGCAAACAGG